rnacentral:lncRNA from 1 species
AUGAAACAUAACUCGCAUGGUUUCUCGUUCGUUCGGUAUUUACUUCUCUUGAAUUUUUCUCGCACCUCACCAGCAAACACAACAUUAUUAUGUGAUCUAGUCCGAAUAUCUUUACUGCUUAAACCACUGUCGAAGACCACAUUUAACCACCUACGUGGACUACACUAUUUCACUUACCCCGACGACUCCCUCCUCUUCAGCCGUCUUUGGGCAUAUAGCCUCCCUCUCUCCGCCUCGAUCAGCAUGUUAAUGGUCUCCUUCAGCGAGUCUCCGAGUGAUACCUCGCCGGCCUUGUACGCCUCUAUCUGCAGGCUGAGGGAGUUCGUGAGGGAGUCGCCCGGCUGAUUAUCGCUCAGCCGGGUCCCAUCCUCGGACGAUUCUCCCUUCGACGAUCCGUUCAUCCUGGAAAUCAGAAGAAACAUAUUCAAACCAAUCAACUUUAUCGUGAAUAGAAAAAACAACUGAAUCGGCCCGAAACAUUUAUAAAGGAACAACUUAAAACGGGACUAAGGCCGCAAAUAAUAAACAUAAAAUAAUAUAAAAAAAAAAAAAAAAAUAUAUAAACCCGGGACGUUUCGCAGGGAUCACACCCGCAUUUUCAACCGGCAAAACAAGAAAAAUUAAAAGAAAGGACACUAUGAGCCUCACCGUUGUUAUUGUGAGACUUUUGCCGUUUUGCCGUUUCUUGUUUUGCCGGUUGAAAAUGCGGGUGUGAUCCCUGCGAAACGUCCCGGGUUUUUAUAUUUUUUUUUUUUUUUUUUUUUUUUUUUUUUUUUUUUUUUUUUUUUAUUAUUUUAUGUUUAUUAUUUGCGGCCUUAGCCCCGUUUUAAGUUGUUCUUUUAUCGUGAAUCUCUACACUGGAGAAAAAGGAAUCUUAAAUUUGCCGCCAAGAAGAAUUUCUUCUUAAAUCAAGAAUUUUUCUGGUCAAUAUAAGCUACUAUUUUGCUUAAUCCAAGCAUCAAUUUGCUUGUAUCAAGAAAAAGUCAGCUUAAAGCGAGAUAAAAAAAAUUCUUGGCGGCAAAUUCAAGAAUAAUCAUGCUUGAUCCAAGCUACAUUUUUUUUCAGUGUACACGAAAAGUGAUCACUUCAUACAUUCAGUUUCGUAUAUUCAUCGGUUAAAUAAAGCGAUAUGUUGUUUUAGAAACUAGUAAAAACGAUUCCACUGGCCCUUUUCCUAGGCGCCUUCAAAGCCACCAAAAAAUGAAGCCCACCCACCCCACACCCCCCAACCCCCCCCCCCCCCCCCCAAAAAAAAUAAAAAUAUGUCUUCCCCCACCCUCCCCAGGGAAACGUAGGUGACCCCCCGAAACAUGACAAAGGUUGAAAGUUUCGUUCCCCCCCCCCCUCGUGUUGACUCAGCUCCGCGGGUGCGUCAAACCCGUUGGUUGCUCAUCAAGAGUUUUGCUUCAAAUCGGCAUCCUCGCCUAGGAAUCCAUCAUCGCCAAUUAUACGAGCUCUCUAAUCCCCACCCGGAUUAAUCUCUGGAAUUCUCGCGUGAAUGUCGAUCCUCAUCAGCGCAGCGGCUCGACUGUCGAGUGGAAAUCGAACGAAUCCGAUCGAUACGUCGCAUUGUCAAGCUGGAAUUAAUCGAGGAAGGUGAUUCGGUAUCGAAUCAACGGGCGACCUAUCGAUGGUCCUGAACGCAGCAUCGCACGUGUCCGUUAAUUGUUUGGACAGUGCUCAUAAAUUAAUCACAAGCUGCCUCUGUCCUGAUCUGUGAGAGAAGGUGUCAUCUCUCCAAGAAAAUUACGAUCGCAUGGAAAAUAAAGGGCUUUUCGCUCCCCAACAUUUUUGUGUUUGAACUCCAUAGUUCCCUAGUCUUAACGUUCGAUCUAAGUGAAUGAAAUUGUGCGUUAUUAGGAAGUCUAAAAACACGGGAACUGCUACAAGAAAUCCCUUUCAGUUCACGAAGAAGUCUUUUUCGGCCUGAAUUAUGAAGGCCUAGUGUAAUGAUGGUGACCACAUUAAAGUACUCUCAUAAAUGGUGUAAAAAUAGGGAGCUAUGAUAAGGAGGGAGGCGAGGCCAAGCUAAUUUCGCUAUGGUAUAUACGUAUGAAGCACUCCAUUUUUUUUUCUUUUAUUUUUCUUUCGUGCAUAUGUUUUCUGAAGGACUUUUCACCUUUAAGGAAUUUUUACCUUGUUCAACAAGCUAACCUCAUGAUUUAUACAUACAUACAUAUGCAUCCACGAAUGGUUACCAAAAUUCUGUAAC